rnacentral:rRNA from 1 species
GAUGAACGCUGGCGGCGUGCCUAAUACAUGCAAGUCGAUCGAACAGACGAGCAUCUUGCUCCUCUCCCGUUCGCGGCGGACGGGUGAGUAACACGUGGAUAACCUACCUAUAAGACUGGGAUAACGUCGGGAAACCGGAGCUAAGACCGGAUAAUAUAUUGAACUGUCUGGUUCAAUAAUGAAAGACGGUUUUGCUGUGACUUAUAGAUGGAUCCCCGGCUGAUUAGCUAGUUGCUAAGGUAACGGCUUACCAAGGCAACGAUGCGUAGCCGACAUGGGGGGGAGAGGUGCCCCGCGGGAACUGAGAGACGGUCCAGAGGGGUACGGGAGGCGGCAGUAGGGAAUCUUGCGCGAUGGGGGGAAGCCUGAUGGAGCAACGGCGCGUGAGUGAUGAAGGUCUUCUGAGCGUAAAACGAUGUUAUUAGGGAAGAACAGAGGUGUAAGUAACUAUGAACAAAUUGACGGUACCUAAACAGAAAGCCACGGCUAAAUACGUG